AUUGAACGCUAGCGGGAGGCCUAACACAUGCAAGUCGAACGGAGCGGCGAACGGGUGAGUAAUGUAUCGGAACGUGCCCAGUAGCGGGGGAUAACGACGGGAAAGGGUAGCUAAUACCGCAUACUAUCGGAGGGGCCGAGGUCGGAUUAGCGAGUUGGUGGGGUAACGGCCUACCAAGGCGACGAUCCGUAGCUGGUCUGAGAGGAUGACCAGUCACACUGGGACUGAGACACGGCCCAGACUCCUACGGGAGGCAGCAGUGGGGAAUUUUGGACAAUGGGCGAAAGCCUGAUCCAGCCAUCCCGCGUGUGCGAUGAAGGCCUUCGGGUUGUAAAGCACUUUAGGCUGGAAGGCGUUACCAUCAGAAUAAGCACCGGCUAACUACGUGCCAGCAGCCGCGGUAAUUC
rnacentral:rRNA from 1 species